rnacentral:rRNA from 1 species
UACGAAGGGUGCAAGCGUUACUCGGAAUUACUGGGCGUAAAGCGUGCGUAGGUGGUCGUUUAAGUCCGUUGUGAAAGCCCUGGGCUCAACCUGGGAACUGCAGUGGAUACUGGGCGACUAGAGCGUGGUAGAGGGUAGCGGAAUUCCUGGUGUAGCAGUGAAAUGCGUAGAGAUCAGGAGGAACAUCCAUGGCGAAGGCAGCUACCUGGACCAACACUGACACUGAGGCACGAAAGCGUGGGGAGCAAACAGG